rnacentral:rRNA from 1 species
GAUUAGCUUGUUGGUGGGGUAAAGGCCUACCAAGGCGACGAUCCGUAGCUGGUCUGAGAGGACGAUCAGCCACACUGGGACUGAGACACGGCCCAGACUCCUACGGGAGGCAGCAGUGGGGAAUAUUGGACAAUGGGCGAAAGCCUGAUCCAGCAAUGCCGCGUGUGUGAAGAAGGCCUUCGGGUUGUAAAGCACUUUCAGUGGGGAAGAAAUGCUCAAUGCUAAUACCAUUGAGAGCUGACAUUACCCACAGAAGAAGCACCGGCUAA